GGUUCCAUAGUGGAGCGGUUAGCAAGCCUGCCUGAGAAGCAGAAAGUCCUGGGUUCGAUUCCCAGAGGAACCA